AUUUUCCAGAGGGAUGUGGGGAGAUCUAGAUUUCCAAACUAGUCAGCUUCUGCACCAGGUACUGCCAUACUUGUCUUAGCCAUAAAUAUACAAAUUAUGCUGCCUGAACUGUGGAAUGGAGCCCCUAGAGGAAACAUACAAAAUCUGCUACUAACAUCAAGUGAGAAUUGAUGGGUAAUUUAUACUUUAAUAGAAAAAUCUGGGGCUAAACUAUGUUUAUUCAGCAAUAUUCCCUGAACUAUCACAAUAAAUAUUCCAAAUUACAAUUUUACCGCCAUCCUUAUUGUGUUUUUAUCUAACAACAUACCUGCGCCUUUUGCGAUCUUCAAUUAGUUUAAUUCUGCGCCCAUUCAACUCACUGCCAUCCAGCUUAUCCAAGGCACUCUUCAUGUCACUGGA